rnacentral:sRNA from 1 species
ACACGAGAAGGGAGGUGGUUCGGCAGAUGUAUGCAUACCGGACGCGUGAGGUGGCUGAGGGUCCACGCUCCUAGCGCUGGCCCCAUUCCACGCAGUCACCCGACCCGCGGGCCGCCGGUACGUCCGGCCGGCUCCCUCCCCGGAGGGACCAAGGCCCGCGGGUCGUCUGCG